GACGAACGCUGGCGGCGUGCUUAAUACAUGCAAGUCGAACGAAGAGCGAUGGAAGCUUGCUUCUAUCAAUCUUAGUGGCGAACGGGUGAGUAACGCGUAAUCAACCUGCCCUUCAGAGGGGGACAACAGUUGGAAACGACUGCUAAUACCGCAUACGAUCUAAUCUCGGCAUCGAGGAUAGAUGAAAGGUGGCCUCUACAUGUAAGCUAUCACUGAAGGAGGGGAUUGCGUCUGAUUAGCUAGUUGGAGGGGUAACGGCCCACCAAGGCGAUGAUCAGUAGCCGGUCUGAGAGGAUGAACGGCCACAUUGGGACUGAGACACGGCCCAGACUCCUACGGGAGGCAGCAGUGGGGAAUCUUCCGCAAUGGACGAAAGUCUGACGGAGCAACGCCGCGUGAGUGAUGACGGCCUUCGGGUUGUAAAGCUCUGUUAAUCGGGACGAAAGGCCUUCUUGCGAAUAGGGAGAAGGAUUGACGGUACCGGAAUAGAAAGCCACGGCUAACUACGUG
rnacentral:rRNA from 1 species